UUUGAUUUGUUCGAGCCCGAGCCGGCUUCCCUCGGUUCGGCGCGCGGGGCUCAUCGGGUAAAGAAGUCCAGUUCUCCCGCGCACGCGCGACAGGGCGCGGCGAGGCGCGCGCCGCGAACUCCCAGUCCCACGGUGCAUCGCGCCCGGAGCGCACCGCCCUCCUCUCCGCCCGCUUGGCCUCUUCUGGCUCUUUCCACCGGACACCGCGGGACAGUGCGUAGCCAACGCCCCGGGAAACUACGACUCCCGAAAGGUCUUGCGGCUAGCCGGUCACACCCUUCCGGAAGGGUUUACGAUUCCGUUUCCAAAACUUUAUUGACAAAAGGUUGCUGCCAGAGGCUUGCUGCUGGAUCUCUUCUGCACAAAACAGGGAUCCAUUUCCUGAAAGUACCCCCUCCUCUCUUUUUUUUUUUUUUUUUUUUUUUUUUUUUUUUUUAUUUUUUUUUUUUUUUUUUUUUUUGGUUUUUCUCCGGUACCGGGAACCAAACUCACGACCUUGCACUUGCCAGGCAGGUGCUUUGCCGCUGAGCUAAAUCCCCAGCCCCG
rnacentral:lncRNA from 1 species